GCCACCACGUAAGACAUGCCUUUGCUCUUCCUUUGCCUUCUGCCAUGAUUGUGAGGCCUCCCCAGCCAUGUGGAACUGAGUCCAUUCAACCUCUUUUUCUUUAUAAAUUACCCAGCCUUGGGUAUUUCUUCAUAGCAGUAUGAGAAUGGACUAAUAUCCCGUGGUUGUCAAUUCCAGAAGUGAAGCAUGUGUAUCCAUUCUUGUCGCGAGCAGAAGAGAGCGUGAUGUGAGUACUGGGGCACUGAGGCAAGCCCCAGAAGCAGAUGGCAGCCACAGCUGGCCUGGAGGGCCUGUCCCAGUGAGGGAGCUGCCCGAGCCACUCCUGCCCUGCUCCACCCACUGCACCUGCCUCCGGAGAGCCUCUUCCCACACUCCACACCAAUUCCACCUUGCCUAGGCAGCGCCAAAGCACCUUCUCUGAAAGCUGUUAAGUGAAGGCUGUGACUUCAGCCCCUUAGAUUCAGCUCUUGUCUGGGUGAUGGAGGACAAGGAUCUCGUCAGCUUCUCUGGGUUGGGACAGGCUGCAGCGUGGUCCAGACUCAGUUGAUCUUCCUGUGCUGAGACCCUCUAGCAGAAUCACAACAGAGAGACACGUGACCUCUGGACACUAUGCUGAGCCCCGAGCAUGGAUUGCCUGGAACACUUCAUUACUUGAAACACAGAGCAAGAAGCAGAAGUUACAAAUCAGGUGUUCUCUUUAAGAAGCUGUAUGGAGAGUUUGUCCUUACACUUGAAUAGUUGCUUCAUUACCUCCCUUAUCUCAGAAGGACAUGCACAGUAAGGUUAUGAAGAACUGGCUUCCAAAUAAUAUUAAGAGCAAGUCACCUAGACUGGAACCAGCAGGUCCAUAUGGCAGACCAGGGACAGCGGGAAGAACACCUAAGUGGAACCCUGAAGCUACUUCCCACUCUGUGACUUUAGGGUCCAUAGAAUUAUGGACCUGGAUACUGGAUGGCAGAUGUGAAAUCCCUUCUUCUUAUUCAAUGCUUAUGCAAAUAUGUGCUAUUGUCAUUGCAAACAUGGUAUGUGCCCUGGAGGGGAACAAUGACUCCAUUAAAUUUUCUGGCCCUGGAAUUCCGUAAAGGAAGUAGUCCAUGGCCCUAGCCCAGGUUUUUCAGCCUCCACACUAUUGCCCAGUAGGCCCUGGAGAUGCCCUGUGUGGGGCCCUGUGCCCAGAGCGGCAUCCCUGGGCUCCACCCUGCAGGUGCCCUGGAUAUCAGCAGAAACUCCCACCAAGUCCUGACAAUAGAAAGUGUCUCCAGACAUGCCCAAGUGUCCCUCGGGGGCAAAACCACCAGUUUGGGAGACCCUGCCUAGGAAAGGUUUUUGUCUUGCUUUUUGUAGAGAGGCCACACAGUGAGAGGCUUCUCAGAAAGAAGGCGCAGUUCCCAGUGCUCAUUAACCUACAGAUUCAAUGACCAAUUCACUGCAGAGGGCAUCCAAAGGUUCUCGAACACAGAAGUUAGGAAAUGACCAUGAGAUAACAAACGGGGCUCUAUUUUGUAAAGGGGGUGCAGCCCGAUUUGGGAUUGCUAAUAAAAGACAAGUAAGUCUUUCAACUCGAUU
rnacentral:lncRNA from 10 species